rnacentral:sRNA from 1 species
AUGCUGCUUUAGUUGCUGAAGAGCUAUCUGCUAUGAAUUUGAAUCCUUACAGCCAUUCACUUCCCCUAUUCGGAGCUCUAGGAAAGUUCGUCUUAAAGAGCGACCGUCAGGAAUUACGGUCGGAUGCUUCGCUUCUAUAAAUCUGGGAUGCUGAGACGGAACUUGCCAACGAGCAUGGCGAUGGGUGUGAAUCAUCAUUUCAUGCAAUGCAUAUUUUAUUUUGCUUAGGAAGUGGUGCAAUAUGAAGUCUGCAGAAUGUCAACCAUUGGAAUUGAUGGGAGCACGGCAAGGUUUCAUGGAAAGAGUAAGGACAGUACAAAUGGCACGGGUGCAAGGUGGUAUACAUGGAUGAUCAGUCGGUUGCUCUCAUAUGUUUCUGAUGCUUUAUUUGAAGAGUUAACCUCUGGAUCAGGCUUUUGCAAUGGUGCUUCCAGGUUGGCGGGCGGGUGGACGUUGAGAAUAGAAUUUUGUUACAGUGGCUGUACUCGACGGACGGAGGCUGCAGCUGGUGGUGGUUGAAGCU